CGGCGGUCAUAGCGGUGGGGAAACGCCCGGUCCCAUUCCGAACCCGGAAGCUAAGCCCACCUGCGCCGAUGGUACUGCACUCGUGAGGGUGUGGGAGAGUAGGACGCCGCC
rnacentral:rRNA from 1 species